rnacentral:rRNA from 1 species
GACGAACGCUGGCGGCGUGCUUAACACAUGCAAGUCGAGCGGAAUAUGGGGGCUUGCUCCCAUAUUUAGCGGCGGACGGGUGAGUAACGCGUGAGCAACCUGCCUUAAACUGCGGGAUAACACUUAGAAAUAGGUGCUAAUACCGCAUAAGACCACACCGAGGCAUCUCGGAGGGGUAAAAGAUUUAUCGGUUUAAGAUGGGCUCGCGUCCCAUUAGUUUGUUGGUGAGGUAACGGCCCACCAAGACUAUGAUGGGUAGCCGACCUGAGAGGGUGAUCGGCCACAUUGGAACUGAGAAACGGUCCAA